rnacentral:rRNA from 1 species
GACAGAGGAUGCAAGCGUUAUCCGGAAUGAUUGGGCGUAAAGCGUCUGUAGGUGGUUUAUUAAGUCUACUGUUAAAGAUCAGGGCUUAACCCUGAGCAGGCAAUAGAAACUAAUAAGCUAGAGUACGGUAGGGGCAGAGGGAAUUCCCGGUGUAGCGGUGAAAUGCGUAGAGAUCGGGAAGAACACCAACGGCGAAAGCACUCUGCUGGGCCGAAACUGACACUGAGAGACGAAAGCUAGGGGAGCGAACGGG